rnacentral:rRNA from 1 species
AUUGAACGCUGGCGGCAGGCUUAACACAUGCAAGUCGAGCGGGGUGAUGGUGCUUGCACUAUCACUUAGCGGCGGACGGGUGAGUAAUGCUUAGGAAUCUGCCUAUUAGUGGGGGACAACAUCUCGAAGGGGAUGCUAAUACCGUAUACGUCCUACGGGAGAAAGCAGGGGAUCACUUGUGACCUUGCGCUAAUAGAUGAGCCUAAGUCGGAUUAGCUAGUUGGUGGGGUAAAGGCCUACCAAGGCGACGAUCUGUAGCGGGUCUGAGAGGAUGAUCCGCCACACUGGGACUGAGACACGGCCCAGACUCCUACGGGAGGCAGCAGUGGGGAAUAUUGGACAAUGGGGGGAACCCUGAUCCAGCCAUGCCGCGUGUGUGAAGAAGGCCUUAUGGUUGUAAAGCACUUUAAGCGAGGAGGAGGCUCUUUUGGUUAAUACCCAAGAUGAGUGGACGUUACUCGCAGAAUAAGCACCGGCUAACUCUGUGCCAGCAGCCGCAGUAA